AGUUAUCGUUAAUAAACCAAAAAGACAAAAAAAAAAAAAAAAAAAGAUUCUUUCGCCUUUUACUAAAGAAUUCCGUGGAGAGGAGCAGUUCAAUGAGUCUUGAAAAUUUUUCGAUAUCCGACUUUGGUCGGUUU
rfam:Ciona savignyi cont_44146, whole genome shotgun sequence.